GCCCCUAUAGCUCAGACGGAUAGAGCAGUGGUUUCCUAAACCAUGUGCCGCAGGUUCGAGUCCUGCUAGGGGCA
rnacentral:tRNA from 1 species